GGUCCCCCCCCCCCCAAUGCAGCUAAGACCUCCCCCUGACUCGGGGGAGGGCCGGCCGAAGACGGUCAGCAUCAGCACGGGUGACACUACAGGGACAUGGAGGGAAUCUCAUGGAAUCAGCAGCGAGCCGGCAUCCCCGCCCCCAAGCUGUGGUCCGGGUCUGGUGACACUCAGGCCCCAGCCUCCAGCGAAUCGAGGCUGUGGCCCGAAGCAGGCACAGCUGGUGGGGGCCUGGAGGCGAGGGUCUCAGCCACUCUGGUGCAAACAGGAAGGAUGCGACUGGUUUUGGCUUUAAUAAUCAAAAUGGAAACAAAAACCAAGAAAGUUGUACAGUAUUUUUCCUGUAAAGGUUAUUAUUCUACAUAGAACAAAAAAAAAAAAGAGAAGGGGGGGAAAUGGGAAAAAAAGCAGGUGAGUGCGGGGAGCCUCGCCUCCCCUCCAGACCAGCCCUGGGAUUGGGGACCCGAGUGCAAUUGCUCCUGUGGAAUUGUUUUGCAUUUAUUUUAGAGGCCUCAGUUUGAGGCUUUGUCCUCACACUAGCACUGAUGGGGGCUGCGUGAUUCCAACUUUUAACUUGAAUUUUGUAGAGACAAGGAAAAAAAAAAGACUAUUCUCUUGAUACGAGUUUGUAGCUAAUUUAACAUUUGAGGGUUUUUCUGUUGGUUAUGCGUGUGGCUUUCUAGGGCUUUCUCUCUCUCUCUCUCUCUCUCUCUCUCUCUCUCUCUCUCUCUCUCUCUCUCUCUCUUGUUCCGGUUUCGUUUUAUUAUUUUAUUUGGGAUGCUAUUGUGCAGGUGCAGCCCACCCAGAUUUGGUUCCUUCUCCAAAAUACCCCUUUCCUGGAGGCAAGGAGGCCACUUAGACUUGGCACAGGACUCACCUGCAGACACUUACUUAGCCAGAGGCUGCUCCAGACUCUGGCAGGGGCAGGCUGCCUGAGGCAGGGCUUGUGGGGUAAACCUGUGCACUGCGGGUUCUGACCAGUGCCAGGCUGGAAGAAAACGGGCCAGCUCAGCAGGUGAUGGAAGUCAGCGGAAGCCCCUCCCACGGGUCUUCAAAGGGGGCGGUGUUCUCUCCAUCUGACUCUGAGUGUGUGAACAUGUGCGAGAGUGUGCGAGCGCAUGUGUGCGCGUGCGUGGGUGUGUGGGUGCGUGCGUGUGCGCACGCGCAUGUGUGCGUGUGUGCCCGAGUGUGUGUGUGAGCACGUCUCCUCUUGGCUGCCCACAACCAGAAAGCCAGGACCAUCUGAACUGGAGAGGGAGCAGGGAGGGUACAGCGGAGAGAUGAGAGUACCCAACAGGAAGCACGUUGAUUCCUAAAUGGCCCUGCCAGAGCCUCCAUGCUGCUGCUGAGAGUUCGCCCAGAUUCUGACCUACCACAGGACUCUGCCUCUGUGGAAGGAGUUUUGUAAAGGAAAACAAACAAACAAGCAAACAGAAUAAAAAACAUUUUUCAAUGUAGCAAAAUCAAAUAAAAAAAAAGGAAAAAAAAAAAAAGAGCCGGAGCGUGCGCGUGCGCAGUCUAGCCUUUUGUAAGCCUCAUAUUGCACAUUAGGACUAUAAGCCAUUGCUAGCUCAUCUUGAAUUUUAAUGUGUAAUUUUUGUUUUAUUUUCUUUCUGUGAGGAAAACGAUGCCUGAUCCACCAAUGCUCUUUUUAAUGUUUUAUAACUAUGUAUGUGUAUAUAUAUAAAUAUAAAAGUAAUAUGUAUGCACAUAUGUGUGUAUAUAUCUAUAUGUAUAUACAUAUAUAGAUAUAUAGAGAUAUAUAGAGAGGUUUUGAGACAAAAAAAAUGCAGAACAUGAAACCGAACUGAACAGCGCGUGCUCUGAUUACUUGAAUCUGGUCUCCUCGGCACCUGGUUAUUAAGAACUGAAUAUUUUUCCACUUGAAUUUAGUGCUAUUAGAAAUUUAAUAUAUGUGUUUUAUUUAUUUGAUUUUUUUUUGCAUGACUGAUGCAAGGUUUGACAUUUUCACUCAAUAAAAACUGGAAAAAAAAA
rnacentral:lncRNA from 1 species